CAAUUUUCUCUCAGCAGCAGUUUGUAUCUUCUUCCUGAUCCUGAAACAGUUCUUUGCGCUGUUGAUAAUAGGACCUGUAACUGGUCUGAAAAGGCUCAGAGUGUCUUUCCUGACUUUCCUGUGCUCUUCCAGAUCAAUGCUAAGCUCCGUAGACUUUCCAAUUGUUUGCGGCUGAAACUAGUGGGUGUAUCAAACAAACCCUAAAAUGGGCCCAGAAAAACUCACCAGCUGUUAUCAAUCAAAAUCACUCAGAAGAUGUUAAGUGGCAAGACAAUUUGUUUGACACAAUUUUUUGGGGUCUCCAAAAUUGAUAGUUCAAGGUGCUGUAUGUCUAUUUUUGACCCAGCAGAUAACAUUUUCAGAAGACCUAUAAUACAUUCAUUAUUGAACCACACUUGAAUGUUUUGGUGACAAAGUAAUAUGUGUUCAACUCAUUCCAUCACAGAAAAAUGAGAGUUGUAGAAAUCACUGGAACUCAAGAAUGAUAUACAUGCUCUUUACAAGUGUAUGUAAACUUUUGACCAUGACUGCACUAUGAGUUUAUGAGUCUGUGGAUCAGACGUCACAGUACAGGCUGAAGGCAGGAAAUAUAUCAUUUUCAAAUGAUUUGAGAAAUAAUUUACAUUUCUGAGGUUUUCUCUACUAGCUUUGUUUUCUUCAUGAAUGUGUUGUCAGUAUUUUCACUCACAUGGGUCUCAGCUGCUUCACGCAAAAAUGAACACACAAUGGACAUUUCUAACCUCGGCAUCAUAGUUUCCUUUGUAACAUGAUCAACAAUCUACCCUCUAUUGUAAAAAAGAAAGGAGGGGGCAGACAAUGCUGUCAGACCUGCCUGCUGCAUGCACUAUGCUGGCUGUAUUUCCCUUCAGAUGUAAGAUAACAUGAUACUGGCUAUAAGUGGAGAUGUGAUAAACACAGGUUUAGCAGGCAGCUGUUUCCUGAGCCUCUGCCAUUCAGUUCAAACUCACCAACAAUACAGCUAAUUUACUGCCAGUGACAGACUGACGACUGCUUAGGAUUAGCUGAAUGCAGAGCUGAAUCAACCUCCUGACAGACGACAGCUGGGGAUAAUUAGUCUGUUUUAAUUUAUCCAAACAAAUUAAUAGAUUUUCUGCGUGUUUCCUGACAUCCUUGCUUUAUGAAGAAAACACACCAUGAGAAGUAAAGGAAAGAAGUGAGGAACAGAAAUGAAAGAGACAAUCUGUGUGUCUUCAUGCUGAGUAGUGAUGUCACUCUGCCUUCUGCAGCCUCUCAGCGGAAGCGUGAAGGCUUAUACCUGUUGACGCUGUCAUGUGCUGCCUGCACACUGAUGUCUAUCUGCAGGACGGUCUUGUAAUCCACGUAGGCCUUACGGUAGCGCUCCAGGGACUCAUAAGCCAUGGCCCGGCGCAGGAGGGGUUUGAGUGAGAAUGGCUGCAGCUCCAGGGCUCUGGAUGGUAUAAAUAGACGAGUUGGACCUUGAGCAAACAUCUUUAAAUACCAAGUAUUUCAAGGCUUUCACAUGGAUUUCGUGAUAUUCUUUGGCGUUUGAUGUCUUCUCCUGAUUUAAAGGCUUCAUUACAGUACAAGGAUGACAUUUUCUGAACCUAACAGACUGUUGUACUUGUGGUCAUUUACAAUUAUGAAAUUCUUAUUUAAGUUAACUAUAAUAGUACACUGAUAUCAUUUUAGUAAAUAAUACAUUUCAUUAUCAGAAGUGGUGAUAACCACAAUUGAUAUUGGCCGAUGUAUCAAUAUCUAGUUUUUUUACUCCCUAACACUGGUAUCAACAAUGGUUCCAAAAAAUCAGUUGGGCUCUUGUAAUAAGGCUUCAAAUAACUUCUUGGCUGGCCUUGGUGAGGCUUUAACAAGAGCAAGUCUGUAUUUGCUAAAGCUUCAAUUAAAAGUUUAGUGUCUGUCAAAUAUUACCUUUUUUGCUGUGAAUGUGUGUGUAGCAAUGAUGGGGUGCUCUGCUGACUAAAUUAAGAACUUGUACUGUUGCAACAUCAUGGGAACGUUGAGUUUCAAAACCACUUAAUUGUAAAGCAUUUUAUUUACCUCACACAGAUGAAUACAUGAUUACUUUAAAUCUUUAUUGGAACAAGCAACAAUCGUUUGUGCUUGUAUGUUCAUUGAUCUUCUAAUUUGAGUAACUUGAAUAUUUUUAACUGAAACUUGUAAUAAUCUGGACUCCAUACAGGAUAAUACAAGUUCCUUAAACUCUUUGUUGAGACCUAGAGCAGGAAGAAGGCCUACCUUGUCUUCCACUAAUACAUCCUACUAUUACACAGUACCAUGGCGAGUUCCAGGGCUGACAAGUUAGAAAGACACAAGGUAGAUGAGGACCAAGUAAAAGUGCAUCAAACCACUUAUGGCACUUAACCACAUAGCACACAGUGUAUUGGUUAUUCUGUCCACUUUCCUAACAGGUAUUCCACUCAGUUUCAACCACCAAUAUUAUCACUGACACAGUCAAAUCAGAUAGGCAUAUCAUGAAUAUUACAGCCAUAGCGACACUAAGUACAGUCAGCUUAGCAUGCCACCUCAUCAGAUGAAAUCAGAUUAUGGAUGAUGACACAGUGAGGCAGUGAUGAUGAUGAUGUCUCAGCAACUGCUCACACAAAGUGAGGAUACUGUGACAGUAGAGCAUGUACACUAUGUUAAAGGUAUAAACUAGGGCAUUUAUAUACUGACCAAUACACGACUUUAAGACCCUGUAAAAGACCAUUAUUGUUAGUUUUGUUUUGGAAGUGUCCUUUUAUGACAGUCCACUGUGACACUGUGUGUUUAAGAGGUUUAAAGGGGCUUAUACAAUAUAUUAUCAUUUCUGCACUUAGCUCCAGUCUGUCUGCAUUACAUGUUCCCUACGUCUGUCAGACGAUGAUGCCUAUGUCCAGUCAUAUUCACAUCCAGUAGUACACUGGCUAGUGAGUACAUUAAGGCAGAGAGUGUAUGUUUGAUGGUGGAUGGGCCGAACAUGCAGCACUCUCUCUCCCUCCAUCAAUCGCUCACUUUCUCCCUCUCUGUGAGAUUUAUAGCUGCAGUCCCACAGAUUCAAUUUCACAGUGAGUGGUUAGUGGUCACGUGACCCGGACAGACCUGAGCUGAGAGGCUUAGCGCCGGGUUGAGGCUAAAACAGAAACACUGUCCACAACAGCCACAUUGUGACGCAUUGCUGUAGGGUCAAGUCUCUAAAUAUACCAACAAACAGCCCAACAUUUGAACUCCUGAAAAAUGACAUAUUUGUUACUGUUAUUAAAUUCUAUGUGCACUACUGUGGACUGCUUCUGCGAUAAAUAAUAAUACUUCUGUUGAUUAGGUAUCAUUUAUCUUAUGGAGAAUUUCCUUUUUGGUGCACUGUGUUAAAUAACACACCAAAUAAAUAGGAGCCCUAGCAUUAUAACUGCAAGGUCAUGGCCUUUCAUUUACAAAUACAAUGGCAAGGUAGAAGAAACAGCUCUAUAAGAUUUGGCAAUUAAACACCAUAAAACAAAUUUCAUUCAAAUAUAGGUGUGACUGGUGAUGGAACAUCAGUCAGUUAAACUAUGGGCUACAAGUUACAGCAUGUUUAUAACACACUGAUGUGAAGUAGAAUGUUCUUUUUACUGUCAUGGAGGCACAUCAAUACCUUCUUCCCAAUGUCAUACACAAACUAAAACCUUACACACUUAAUGACUAAGCUACCACCAGCCACCUCAGACUAUAAUAACAAGAAUAGCACCUACUGUAAGGACUCUUCC